GGGGGUGGGGGUGGGGGCAGGACACAGAUUUCUGGUCCUCUGUCAUCUUUGGUGGACUGCCACCAAACAGAAAGCAUGUGUAUCACAUCUCUAGAAAGAAGACGAAAACAGUUCAAACCCUAAUGCGUACUUUUGACUUUAACUUUUAUAGUAAACAGACUCCGUGCUGACUUUCCAUGUGACCAUUAGACUUUAAGGGAUAUAAGCUAAGCUCCGUGUUUUUUUCUGUAGCUGUGUGUCAUUUAGUACUUUUGUAAAAUGAGUAAAAUUUGAGGUGUUUGGCAAG
rnacentral:lncRNA from 1 species